GUGAUCCUUCCGACACCACCGCACAACAAUUCGUAUUAUCUAGAAGCCCAUCAUCCGCUUCCUACGAGUCCACUACCACCAAAAUCACCAGAUAUACACCAAGUUCCGGUGUACACACGAACGAUAAAUUUCUUCGACCGAAAAAUAAAUUAAUAAUAAGAUUCCUUCGAAAUUCUCAUCUCCUGACCAUCGAGAAGCCUGAUUUGUUUGAUUAUCAUGAUUUUUUUCAAAUUUUAAAGGUUGACCGCAACCUUAAGC
rnacentral:lncRNA from 1 species